AGAGUUUGAUCCUGGCUCAGAUUGAACGCUGGCGGCAUGCUUUACACAUGCAAGUCGAACGGUAACAGGGAGCUUGCUCCGCUGACGAGUGGCGAACGGGUGAGUAAUGCAUCGGAACGUGCCUAUUUGUGGGGGAUAACGUAGCGAAAGUUACGCUAAUACCGCAUACGCCCUGAGGGGGAAAGCGGGGGAUUCGUAAGAACCUCGCGCAAUUAGAGCGGCCAAUGUCGGAUUAGCUAGUUGGUGGGGUAAAGGCUCACCAAGGCGACGAUCCGUAGCGGGUCUGAGAGGAUGAUCCGCCACACUGGGACUGAGACACGGCCCAGACUCCUACGGGAGGCAGCAGUGGGGAAUUUUGGACAAUGGGCGAAAGCCUGAUCCAGCCAUGCCGCGUGAGUGAAGAAGGCCUUCGGG
rnacentral:rRNA from 1 species